AUGUCUGUUGUAAAUCCCUUUCCCACACUCUUGUUUUUCGUUACGUUUUUUGGUCAAGCUUUGUUGUACUUCAUAGAAAGUUUGGCUUGAGAGAAAAAACCCCCCACCCUCGUAGCCAACAACAUCUCUCUUUAAAAAAAUGGUAGUCAAUAUCUAUGGUUAUGAAUUCUCCCUCCCGUCAUUUUGUUCUAUAUGUAUUCUUAUUUUUUAAAAAGAGAAACACAAAGUAAU
rnacentral:ribozyme from 1 species